UCCUGAAUAAACUGCUUUGAAGAAGAGUUGUGGUUGUGUUUCCUUGCUGGCCGAGGUAGACGCGAUGGUCCAGCUUCCAAAAGUGAAGUGCUAGAAGAAUCCAUUGUAUGACACCAGAAAUCUCUGAUUUGCCUUUGGGAAAUAUAGAAACUAUUUGGAAUUCCAGAAGAACAGCAAUUGCAAAGAGCUGAGGCUGUGAAGAAGCAUAUCAGGGAUUUUCUGGAUAGGAUGAUUGCUGAAGAGGAGGGAAGCCUCAUGAGACAGCUUUUCGAAAGCAUAUCUGUUGGAAACUGGGAAUUGUGCUGACACUGCCCCCUAAUGAUGGUUGGGAGAUGCAUGCCUAGCGUGGCCACUUCAUGGGUACCUCAUCUCUCUCUCCUCUGUUCUUUCCCUCCAAUAAUAAACACCAUGUGGCCUCAUUGA